UGAGUAACCUGCCCCGAAGACUGGGAUAACCCUCCGAAAGGAGGGCUAAUACCGGAUGUCCUCACCGGACCGCAUGAUCUGGUGAGGAAAUGGAUUCCGCUUCGGGAGGGCCUCGCGGCCUAUCAGCUUGUUGGUGGGGUAACGGCCCACCAAGGCAACGACGGGUAGCUGGUCUGAGAGGACGAUCAGCCACACUGGGACUGAGACACGGCCCAGACUCCUACGGGAGGCAG
rnacentral:rRNA from 1 species